rnacentral:rRNA from 1 species
UACGAAGGGGGCUAGCGUUGUUCGGAAUUACUGGGCGUAAAGCGUACGUAGGCGGAUUGUUAAGUGAGGGGUGAAAUCCCGAGGCUCAACCUCGGAACUGCCUUUCAUACUGGCAAUCUUGAGUCCGGGAGAGGUGAGUGGAACUCCUAGUGUGGAGGUGAAAUUCGUAGAUAUUAGGAAGAACACCAGUGGCGAAGGCGGCUCACUGGCCCGGAACUGACGCUGAGGUACGAAAGCGUGGGGAGCAAACAGG